rnacentral:rRNA from 1 species
AGAACGAACGCUGGCGGCAGGCUUAACACAUGCAAGUCGAGCGCCCCGCAAGGGGAGCGGCAGACGGGUGAGUAACGCGUGGGAAUCUACCUAGCUCUUCGGAAUAGCUCCGGGAAACUGGAAUUAAUACCGAGUACGCCCUACGGGGGAAAGAUUUAUCGGAGUUAGAUGAGCCCGCGUUGGAUUAGCUAGUUGGUGGGUAAUGGCCUACCAAGGCGACGAUCCAUAGCUGGUCUGAGAGGAUGAUCAGCCACACUGGGACUGAGACACGGCCCAGACUCCUACGGGAGGCAGCAGUGGGGAAUAGUUGGACAAUGGGCGCAAGCCUGAUCCAGCCAUGCGCGUGAGUGAUGAAGGCCUAGGGUUGUAAGCUCUUUCGAGUGGGAAGAUAAUGACGGUACCACAAGAAGAACGCCCCGGACUAACCGUUCGCGACCCGAGCGACGCCGC